UCAUACUGGACACCAACCACUCUGAACAUUGAUAUAGGUCAUACUGGACACCAACCACUCUGAACAUUGAUAUAGGUCAUACUGGACACCAACCAAUCUGAUAAAAAAUUACUGUAAAUCACAGGUCAUUUUUUUUCAUCACUAAUGAUUUUACAGUUUAAAUAUAUUUGACGUUAUUGUAACAAAUAUAGGUAAAUAAAUACAUUUACAUAAUUUAGCAGACGCUCUAAUCCAGAGUGACUUACAGGAGCAGUUAACAUUCAGUGCCUUGCUCAAGGGCACAUCGACAGAUUAUUCACCCAGUUGGCUCAGGUAAUUCAAACCAGCGACCUUUCGGUUACUGGCCCAACACUCUUAACUGCUAGGCUACCUGCCGCCCCACCGCUAGGCUACCUACUCUUAACCACUUGGCUAACUGCUCUUAUCCGCUAGGCUACCUACUCUUAACCGCUUGGCUAACUGCUCUUAUCCGCUAGGCUACCUACUCUUAACCGCUAGGCUACCUACUCUUAUCCGCUAGGCUACCUACUCUUAACCACUUGGCUAACUGCUCUUAUCCGCUAGGCUACCUACUCUUAACCGCUUGGCUAACUGCUCUUAUCCGCUAGGCUACCUACUCUUAACCGCUUGGCUAACUGCUCUUAUCCGCUAGGCUUCCUACUCUUAACCGCUAGGCUACCUUCUCUAAACCUUCAGGCUGCCUGCUCUUAACCGCUAGGCUACCUGCUCUUAACCUCUAGGCAACCUGCCGCCCCACCACUAGGCUACCUGCUCUUAACUGCUAGGCUACCUUCUCUAAACCUUCAGGCUAUCUACUCUUAAGCGCUAGGCUACCUUCUCUCAAUUGCAAGGCUCAGUGCUCUUAUCCGCUAGGCUACCUACUGUUAACCGCUAGGCUACCUGCUAUUAACCCCUAGCCUACCUGAUCUUAACCAUUAGGCUACCUGCUCUUAACCACUAGCCUACCUGCUCUUAACCACUAGCCUACCUGCUCUUAACCUCUAGGCUACCUGCUCUUAACCAAUAGGCUACCUGCUCUUAACCGCUAGCCUACCUGCUCUUAACCAAUAGCCUACCCGCUCUUAACCACUAGCCUACCUGCUCUUAACCGCUAGUCAACCUGCUCUUAACCACUAGCCUACCUGCUCUUAACCGCUAGCCUACCUGCUCUUAACCACUAGCCUACCUGCUCUUAACCGCUAGUCAACCUGCUCUUAACCGCUAGGCUACAUGCUGUUAACUGCUAGGCUACCUGCUCUUAACCGCUAGGCUACCUUCUUUUUACUGCGAGGCAACCUGCCGCCCCACCGCUAGGCUACCUGCUCUUAACCUCUAGGCUACCUGCUCUUAACCAGUAGGCUACCUGCUCUUAACCCCUAGGCUACCUGCCGGCCCACUGCUAGGCUUCCUGCUUUUAACCAACAGGCUACCUGCUCUUAACCGCUAGGCUACCUAUUUUUAACUGCUAGGCUACCUGCUCUUAUCCGCUAGGCCUCCUUCUCUUAACCUCUAGGCUACCUGCUCUUAACCGCUAGGCUACCUGGUUCAAACCAUUAAGCUACCUGCUCUUAACCGCUAGGCUACCUGCUCUUAACCCCUAGGCUACCUGCUCUUAACCGCUUGGCUACCUGGUUUAAACCACUAGGCCACCUGCUCUUAACCACUGGGCUACCUGCUCUUAACCGCUAGGCUACCUGCUCUCAACCCCUAGGCUACCUGCUCUUAACCCCUAGGCUACCUGCUCUUAACCGCUGGGCUACCUGGUUUAAACCACUAGGCUACCUGCUCUAAACCACUAGGCUACCUGGUUUAAACCACUAGGCUACCUGCUCUUAACCCCUAGGCUACCUGGUUUAAACCACUAGGCUACCUGCUCUUAACCCCUAGGCUACCUGGUUUAAACCACUAGGCUACCUGCUCUUAACCCCUAGGCUACCUGGUUUAAACCACUAGACUACCUGCUCUUAACCCCUAGGCUACCUGGUUUAAACCACUAGGCUACCUGCUCUUAACCCCUAGGCUACCUGGUUUAAACCACUAGGCUACCUGCUCUUAACCCCUAGGCUACCUGGUUUAAACCACUAGGCUACCUGGUUUAAACCACUAGGCUACCUGCCACCCCAAACAUAGAAGACAGUGAAGGCAAAUGAGCAGCAUGUAGUUUUAUUGCAUCAUUCAGUGACCAGUGAUUUCAUAUGACUAUUUUUGCAAUAUCUGUCUUAGAACAGUAAUGUGAUCCUGGUGGAUGUUGAAUUUUGUGAUAUUACAUGUUAUAUCAUGCUAACAACAGUGUUGAGAACGGAUUGUUACAUCUGCUAUAUUUACACUUGAAACACAUUCAUAUACCAAACAUUGUCAAAGAUUUUUUUUUUUUUUUUUUACUUCAGAUUUUUUUAAAUAUGCCUGUUGUGUUAAUGGAUGAGAAAUGAUGUACUGAAAAAAUAGUUACUAUUUAUGAAUGAUGGGAUUAUAAUUUGAUGCCUAAUCCAUUCAUUAUUCAUUUAGAUUCAUGAUCGCGUUUGUAUUUCAGCUACGGUAACACAGUUUCCUGAAUCUCAUGCUAACCAUGUGUAUGUGACAAAUAAAAUUUGAUUUGAUUUGAUUUGAUCUCAGGAAAGAAGGAGGAGCAUAUUGUUGAACUGGAGGCAUAAUCGAGAACACCAAGUGAUGACAGCUCAUGACUGUCAAUUCAGAAGGAACUCAAAAGUUUUACAGAAAUCUACAGUUUCCCCACAUUUUGACAGAAAAACCUAAAUCAGUUGAAUGGAGACCAAUAAACAACACAAUAUAAUGGUCGGCAGUAUAUUUCCUUUGAUCCAAUUUGUGAUUGAGUGUUUCUGUUGAUCUGGAUGUCUUUGUAUUUUCUGCACAAUUAUAGUGAAUAAAGUUAUUCUAUGAUUGUGCCAUUUAGCGUUUGGUGCCUUAUAGACAUGUGGAUUAAUGGUAAUAUAUUACAAUACAUAUGGAAUAUAUUGUUGAUAUUACCACAACAAGGAGGCCAAAUAUUUUUAUUUGUUUGAGUUUUUAUGGCUUUUUCUUUAUUUUGCAAAUUACUGGAGCUUUUUUUUUGGGGGGGGGGCUUUUUACAAAUGAUGGAAAUAGCAGCUUAUGUACUUGUUUAUGUUCAUUAAAUUUCAAACUUGCUGAAAAAAAAACAGAAUUUAUAUUUUACUGGUGUUGUUUCGUUACUCAGAUUAGUGUAAACCACAAUUCCACCUUCAUAUGUAUGUGUGUGUAUGUAUGUAAAGUAAACUAUAUAC
ensembl:lncRNA